rnacentral:lncRNA from 1 species
ACAUUCUACAGUAGGUAAUUCCUCCUCAAAUCCCGUUCACAUGCUGAGGUUUCCAGCGAAGUUUAGAGGGUGCGCCCAUUCCAAACUAGGCUCACUCUGGUCCUGAUGCUGAGCCAUGGGCACCUACCUAGUUGAUAUUCACAUCGCGGUUUCCAUGCGCUGCUUUCAAACCCUUCUUCACAUCUGGCUUAGUUUGCGCAUGUCAAUGGAGUUGAUAUUACUGGAUACGACCAGAGGGGACGCUGUUGAUCAGGAUAUAGGGGGCCACUGUCUGGCAGGGGCACUGAUGCAGGCAGUUGAACUUCUAUCAGUUUCUAAACCAUACCGUCUUUGGUUCCAUUCUCGUGUGGAUAGCUAAGUGAGUAUUCCAGUCUAAGGUUCUUCAGAGGCUGUACCUUACCUCCCAGGCCUGCGAAAGAAUCCAGCGCUCCAUCGCCUGAGACCUCUGAAACAAAAAGUAGGCCUAGAGGAGGAGGCCACUAUCACUGCUGCCCAUAUGGUAGCUGCUUUCCCUUCAGACCGUUGAGAACACUCAUGAGUCCAACAAAGAUGAAGAGGUAGAAGGAGACAAUGGGGGAAGAAGGAGAAAUGGGAACUAUAGCUCCAGGAGGUGGGACAGUGGUGGCCCGGGUGGACAGAGCGGGCCAGGUUACAGAAUCCAACCCUGGGGACCCCCAUGGAGGAAGGAGUCUGGCUCAACAAGAAGAAGAAGAGGAGGAAGCUGAAGAAGAAACAUCAUAAACAGAAGCUCUUGUAUCUAGGUCUGGUGCCCCGUGCUGCAGCUCAAGUUCACCUACGAGAGCGAGGAGGAUGGGAGGGGGGGAGGAAGAGAUGAGGCAGAGAAGAGCAGCUGAAGUGAUAAUCUUCCUCAGGACCACACAAGAUCUACGUGUCUGAUUGUGAGUGUGACAUACCAAGGCUGCUAAUCAACACAGAUACGGUCACAUAUAGCCUAGGCUGUGUUUCAGUCUUCCUAAGAGCUGACCAAAAGUGCUGAAGCAUAGUUCAUUUUAUAGCUUUCGGAUUGGCAGAAAAUAAAUAAUUUGAACAGCACUGUGCAGAGCACACGCAAAUGAAAGUGAAAGCACAGCUCAUUAAUCACUAGCCUAUAACAACUUGAGGACCUUGAGAGAUUUAGGAAUCGAGGUGUAGAGGUGCAUUGAGGUGUUUGGGUUUACUUCAUCAUGCUCAAAUGUAAUGGACAGGCUCAGUCAUCUGGUCUGUCAUAAUCCCUCCAUGACUUGCCUCUGGAGGACUAGACAGACAGUCAGUCCAAAGAAUCCCAUUGGUUCCAGGGAUUAAGGUUUCUCUGUUGGUGAAUUACUGCAGAAGGCUAAGAAGGAAGACCUCUGGAAAUGUCCACAGUAGUUCAGUUAAAGGGGCUACAUGCUCCUGUUCCUUAUAUGCUCCUCAGUCUAGAGAUAGACCAGGGGAUUAAACACAGGCCCGUUCAGCAACGGAGCUUAUAAUGGUUGGUGGAGUAAUAGUAUACUUAAUCCACUACCAAGCAGGUUCAUCUGGUAGUGGAGGGUCUUCUGACCAGCCUGUACAAUGGAACAUUCCUCCCCUGCUGUUUUGGCCCAGCUCCACAGCCUCUAGUCCCUGGUGCAGCAACAGGACACAGCAAGGAUGGCAAAGAAUCUGCAGGAGCUCCAGAACAGCUCUACCAUGUCUACUGCGUUUGUCUCUUCUCUUUCCAGGUGAUGCCACUGCAGUUGUGUCCCUGUUUCAGUACUGGAUCACAGACAAUCCCGCCCAUGCCGAGAGAAUGGAAAACAGGCCAACCUACAACAUAACCUUCCUAGUCGAGCCAACCAACAACACAGCCUUAGACUUUCCUAGAUGUUCAGGGUUUUAAACAACACUGCUGACGGAAAACUUGUCUGACUUAAUUCAUUGUGAGCCCAUGUAACAGAGUUAAGUACAUACCGUAAGCUCACUCCACAGCUAGCUUGAAAUGUCGCGGAUGGAGCCAUCCAAUCGGUACCUUUUGGGUGGCUCAAACCGUUGGAAUGUUGUCAAGGAGGGCGGCCACGUGUGUUUACAAAGCAGAGGUCCCGAGUUUGAGCCGGGUACGAGCCGAAUCAGGGGGAAGUGAUACCAGACACAAUUAAUUAACCGUUUAAUAGAUUUUCCCCACAGAAAAGUGUGGCGAGCGAGCGUAUAAAAACAUUAAGUGGAUAAGGAAUAACAGUACUUUACCACAUUGUCCUAUGCACCUGUGCGGGCUCUAGGUCUAGUGUGAGCUUCAAGAGUUAUAUUAUUCCAUGUGAAAACCUACACUAUUUUUCUGUUACAAUGUUGUUAUAACCAUGAGAAAUGAAACAGACUAAAGUAUAGCUUGUGACAGUUUCGUUAUUCCUGAUAAAAAAAAAACGUCUCUCUGAUACACACAACCGUUCAAAAGUUUAGGGUCACUUAGAAAUGUCCUUGUUUUUGAAAGAAAAGAGAAGAGAAAAAAAAGUCCAUUAAAAUAACAUCCAAUUGAUCAGAAAUACAGUGUAGACAUUGUUAUAAAUGACUUCUUUUUUUAAUGGAAUAUCUACAUAGCCGUACAGAGGCCCAUUAUCAGCAACCAUCACUCCUGUGUUAGCUAAUCUUAAAUGUAUCCUUUUAAAAGGCUAAUUGAUCAUUAGAAAACACUUUUGCAAUUAUGUUAGCACAGCUGAAAACUGUUGUUCUGAUUAAAGAAGCAGUAAAACCGGC